UACGUAGGGUGCGAGCGUUGUCCGGAAUUACUGGGCGUAAAGAGCUCGUAGGUGGUUUGUCGCGUUGUUCGUGAAAACUCACAGCUCAACUGUGGGCGUGCGGGCGAUACGGGCAGACUGGAGUACUGCAGGGGAGACUGGAAUUCCUGGUGUAGCGGUGGAAUGCGCAGAUAUCAGGAGGAACACCGGUGGCGAAGGCGGGUCUCUGGGCCGGAACUGACGCUGAGGAGCGAAAGCGUGGGGAGCAAACAGG
rnacentral:rRNA from 1 species